CGAGAUGCCCAGAAGGAAAAACAGAGUCUAAGAGUCUGACUAGGUCAGUGUAUAGUGUCUUAUCAACUUUGUGGUUCUGAACAUUACACUCAAACUCAGCUUUAGCUCUGGGGGCUCAUCCACACCCUACAAGCUGGAAAGGGAUCAUCGCCCCGGGGUCAUGUUAACACUAGAGCCUUUCUAAGCCUCUGAUAUUUCUAUAUGACUGAUUUACCAAGAAAGGUCCUGGUGCUCCAGCAGUGUAAGUAUAACUGAAGAGAACCUAUGGUCUCUGAUUCUGUGCUAUUCAGUGAAAAUCCUCUUGUUUUCCCAUGAUUGAAAUAACUGUAUUUUAAGAGCUCAGUUCCAGUUAUACAAGAAGAGAACAUAAUGUGUAGUAGUAGAAAGAGCAUUUGAGUAGGAAGCAGAACUGUGUCCUUAGUCCCAGCUCUCCCACUAAUUAGCAAAUUACUUCCUCUCUCAGGGGCUAAGUUUCUUCAUCUGUCAACUAACUUAAUUGGACUAGUGAUCAUUAAGAUUCCUCCUAGUUUAAAAAUUCAAUGAUUCAGAGAGCCCAAAAUGUACCCCCUUUGAGAAAGAAGUGGUUAUAUUCCAACAACGAAAUAAAUAAAAAACAAAUCCAAACAUCUAUCCAACCACGGCGGUGAGUUUUGGUGGAAGCGGCCAGUUGGAGAGUGGAUUCAUCCACGUGUGGCCCACACCCUCAGUGGCCGGAUAAGGUGGAAAGGGCGCUGAAGAGCAAGUCUUGCCCUGUCACCAUCCUCCAUUUCUCCAGAAAGUGGGUUUUAGUGACUUGUGUUUGUCAUGGCCCAGCUCGGCUUGGUGUUUCUUUAAAUAAUUGAUCGAGCCCUCCUCAGGCAGCUUGGUCCACCGGAGACCAGAGCCCCAACCCUCCAAGGCAAAGAACCCCUUUCCACUUGAGUUGAAAAACACGGUUAAGUCUUGUUAGCUUUCUUGCCAGUCUGGUCCUGCCGUUCCCAUCAUAAGCCACCAGAGGGUGCACAAUAUGCUGGAAAGGGAUCGGGGCCACUGCUGGUCCCCAUUAUUGGCAGCUUAGAAUGCAGAAAUAUCCUCCUGGAUUCCUAGGCAGGCUCAGUUGGGGAACUCGGCAGUCCUGGGACUUCCUGCAGGAUAAGGCGGAAGAUGGGAUGCUUCCUCCCACUGGGCAAACUGGGGGCGGCUGGGUAGCGGAUGUCUCCUUGGUUCCACUGAAAUACUUGGCUCUGGCUCGCUAUGGGAUUUCUCUCCUCCCUCAUUCUUCCCACAUGUCUAAGCCUCUCCUGGCUCCUGUUUGGUCUAAAGCACAGAGGCAUUUUCGUACGCAGCAGGAGUGCAGAUAAUUUAUUCUCCAAAUUAUAGCAGAAAGUCCUGGAAACGGGAUCUGUGAGCCUCUGCCACUCUGGGUGAUUUCACUAAUGAGUUAACAUUUAUAUGGUACUUUGGACAUAUGAUCUCACUUGGUACCCACAGUAGCCCUAUGAAGUAGGUGCUACUAUACCCAUUACACAGAUGAAAAAAUGGAGUCAUCGAGAUUGUCUUGCCCAAUGCCACAGAGCCAGAACGGGCCUGAAGUUGAUUCCAAACUUGCCUGACCCCACGUCCGGCAUUCCACCAGUUGUAACGCGCUGCCUCAUCUGGCUGCCGAGGUCCCAUCGGUACCCCAUCCCCAGCCAGUGCUGUGGCCAUUGGGAGCCUGGGAAACCCUCUGGUGUCUGCUCCCUGGGGUUCUCGCCCUCACUUUCCAGAAUCCAAUCCUGGGCCCAGUUCCUGAUUGUAUCACUGCUUGCAUUCCACCAAGGGCGUGUUAUGUUAUAUUGGUCAACCCUUUGGAAACAGGACGCAAGAGUCCAACUUUCCCAAGGAGGGAAGGGCUUGAUGACCUGCCUGAUUAUCAGAGGGCUCCGAGUGGGACUCCAUUCCCUCCCAGCCUCCGGGUCCUGGAUGCCUCCCUUCCGUGUGCUGCUUCUAAAGGCAGUCCUGGAGUUGCAGCAGAGCUCAGGGAGAUCUGAGAUUCAGCCCAUAAACCCUAGAACAGCCAGAUCCCACCGGAUAAGGAGCUGGGCAACCUAGAUUAAAUCCCAGCCCGAGGUCAAUACCUGGCUGAUCUAGGUAAGGCAGCUGGCUGAUCUCUCCAGCUUGGGCCUCCCCAAGUCUGGAUUCAAUCGUGUCAAACCGCUACAGAAACGGGGACCAAUGAACCGACAUAGCUGUCUCUGAGGCCACCCGGUGACUCAGUAUUGUUUCAAUAUUUCCCAAUUAUAUAGAAAUCUGGUUGGGGCUGUUCGGGGGAGUGUGUUGGGCCAAGCCAGCAAGAUCUUUGAGACAAAGAGGUAGGACUACUUUUCCCUGGAACUUCAGCCUGUUUCUCUUAAAAAAACAAACCCCAACCCGACAAAAAAACAAAUCCUGGGCUUCCCAAGGUGAUUUGUUCAGGUCAGCCACUACAGGAGCUUCGCCAGGGUCCUACAUGCCCUCGAGGGACAGCAGGAGCAGCUUCCUCUUCAGAAGCAGGGCUAGCUCUCCCACGUCCUCAUCAACCACUUAAGUGACUGGAAAGAUCACAGCACUAAUGCCCACAAUCCUCCUUUGAGGGUUCCGACUUAGGCCACUGUCCUUAGGGAGCUGCCCAGCCCUGCAGAGGGCCAAGAGGGGGGUGAAGGCAUUGUGGCACAAAUGAUGUCACCUCGGUAUCUUGUGCUAUCAGGCGGCCUGGCCCCCGAGGCUAAGGGGGUCCACGAUAUUCUUUUGGCCUGGACAGUUCCUGUCCUCGAGCCACCCCCUUCCCCUGGUUCCUCUGUGACCCCAGGCCGCCUCCUCCCAGAAGCCUGCCUCACCAGCUCCCAAUCCGGGUCUUGGUCCAACUGUGGGGUGUGGGACAGAGGUCAGGCAAGGAGAUCUCCUCCAGAGCUGCUUCCUUCCCCAGCCUGCGCUGCCAGGGAAGUAAAUAUAGAACAGGGAGACACAGUUGCCAGGCAGGAGUGGGGAUGACGUCUAUACGUGGCAGACAGACAGACAGACACAGGAAGCUAAGCAAAGGCAUCUGACAUCCUCUGAGAUGACAGAGAAGCCGUGGGAUCUCCAGGCCCUGGAGGAAGCCUCUGAUUGAUCAUUUCUCUUGCUCCUUAGGCUGCCCCUCGCUGCGCCUGGGGAGACUUUAUGCUUUGCCUUUGAGAGAGCCCUGCCCCUGUGGCUCCCUGGGGAGCUAUCUCUCCUUCAGAACAGAUUUAGAAGGCUGGAGGACAGAGCAACAAAUGAGUUUUUUUUAAGCAGCAUUUCAAAAGGGCAGCGGCAAAAGGUUACAGAUUUGGAGAGGGAAGAUCUAGCCCAAUAUCUUCAUUUUACAGCCAGGUGUUCCUGCAAAUCUCAGCUCAGAUGCUGCUUGUUAACACGUGGCUUUUCCCCUUCUCCCUCCUCACCUGCCUCAUAUCUGUGUACGUGCUGUCUCCUUGGAGGAAACUGAGGCAUUCAGAAGGGAGUGACCAGGGUCACAGGGCCAGUAAAUAGCUGACUCAGGUCUUCCCGACUCCAGGCCCAGCCCUCUAAUGGAUGCUGCCCAUUCUUUAUUCUGCUUGGAAGAAGUCUUAACCUCCUUCCCUGCUCCUGAUAUAACCGAACUGCAGUUCCAUCCAGCUGAUUUCCUCCCAGCUUAACAUCCUACCUUCCUGCACCCUAGGCUCACAGGGCAUGAAUUUAAGGUCUUUAUUCUCUUAGCUGCCCUCCUCUGGACACCCUCCAGUUCAUCCCCAAACUUUCUAAAUGUAAUGUUCAAGACAAUUCUCAGACGAAGAAAUUGAAACUAUUUAUAGACAUAUGAAAAUAUGCUCCAAAUCAUUAUUAAUCAGAGAGAUGCAAAUUAAGACAACUCUGAGAUACCACUACACACCUGUCAGAUUGGCUAGAAUGACAGGGAAAGAUAAUGGGGAAUGUUGGAGGGGAUGUGGGAAAACGGGGACACUGAUACAUUGUUGGUGGAGUUGUGAACACAUCCAGCCCUUCUGGAGAGCAAUUUGGAACUAUGCUCAAAAAGUUAUCAAACUGUGCAUCCCCUUUGAUCCAGCAGUGUUUCUACUGGGCUUAUACCCCAAAGAGAUACUAAAAAAGGGAAAGGGACCUGUAUGUGCCAAAAUGUUUGUGGCAGCCCUGUUUGUAGUGGGCAGAAGCUGGAAAAUGAAUGGAUGCCCAUCAAUUGGAGAAUGGCUGAAUAAGUGAUGAUAUAUGAAUGUUAUGGAAUAUUAUUGUUCUGUAAGGAAUGACCAGCAGGAGGAAUACAGAGAGGACUGGAGAGACUUACAUGAACUGAUGCUGACUGAAAUGAGCAGAACCAGGAGAUCAUUAUAUACCUCAACAACGAUACUGUUUGAGGAUGUAUUCUGAUGGAAGUGGAUCUCUUCGAUAAAGAAAGCUAAUUCAGUUUCAGUUGAUCAAAGAUGGGCAGAAGCAGCUACACCCAAAGAAAGAACACUGGGAAAUGAAUAGAAACUGCUUGCAUUUUUGUUUUUCUUCCCGGGUUAUUUAUACCUUCUGAAUUCAAUUCUCCCUGUGCAACAAGAAAACUGUUCAGUUCUGCACACAUAUAUUGUAUCUAGGAUAUACUGUAACUUAUUCAACAUGUAAAGGACUGCUUGCUAUCUGGGGGACGGAGUGGAGGGAGGGAGGGGAAAAAUCGGAACAGAAAUGAAUGCAAGGGAUAACGCUAUAAAAAAUUACCCUGGCAUGAGUUCUAUCAAUAAAAAGUUGUUAAAAAAAAUAAAUGUAAUGUUCAAAAAGAGCCCAACAUCUUCGAUACAGGAUCACCAGGGUAGAAUGCAGUGGGAUUAUCAUCUCCUAGGCCAGGAUGUGAUGCUUCUCGCUAAGUUUUUCUUGGUUGCAGUGUCACAGUUGGCUCAGAGGGAGCUUUAAGUGCACAGAGAGGGACAGAUCAUCCCCAGAUGACCUGUCUCACCCCCUAGCCUUGUGAAAUUGAUUUCUUGAACUCCAAUAACUUGACAUUUAUUCCUAUGAAAAUUUCUCAUAACGACUCAGCUCAGUCUUGUAUCAGAAUUCUGCCAUCCAGAGUGUUAGCUCUCCUUCCUGGUUUGGUAUCAAACUUUUGCAAAUCUGAGAACCACACCAUCCCGAUAAGCCUUUAAGUUACCAAAUUAAAAAAAAAAAAAAGUUGACCAUCACAGGACCAAUGACAAGGUCCCUGACAGAUUAAAAUUAAAUCUUUAGGGACCGGCUCUAUGGGUUUCUACUUCCAAAGCCAAAUAAUGGUCCUACUGUCAAGCCAUGCAUCUUUCCUAUUUUCCACAAUCUGUAAAUGCUUGACUAAAACCCAGGUAAAUCAGAGUUACAGCAUUGCUCUGAUUUACCAGCAUGGUAACCUUGUCAUAAAAGGAAAUGCGAGUCUGCCUUGACUUGUUCUUAGUGAAAACCCGCUCUCGACUUUCCCUUCUCAAUGUUCUUUAACCAUUCCUUUCAGAAGACAGAAGAAUCUUGCCAGGAUCCAAGUCUAGCCCACGGCUCUACAGUCGACAGACUCCACAUUCAACAAUCAGGCAUUUAGCUUCCUCCAAUCUUGAAGCACCUUUUCAUUUCCCACAAUCUUUCCAAUAUCGGACCGUUGUACUUGCUAGUUCUGACUCCUGAGACCAGAGCCCCUCCCCAACUUUGUUACCCGCCCGCAUGGGGAGCAGCUACUUAUAUCCUGCCCUUCUUCAGCUCUGUUCUUCCUCACCAAUCCAAAGCUCGCUUUAAGAAACCAAGACGUAUCACGCUUUAUCACACAGGAUGCAAAAGGAAGGUGUGCAAUCUCACCAAAGAUUGUCUGAAGGAAGCCAGUCAAGUACUUCUACACUAGCCCUCUAGUGUCCUUUACUUUCAUCCCUCCUGUUCCCUCCGUACCAACUUCUUCCCAGCUGGGACAAAAUCCCGUCCCUCCACUGAACAUACACUGCAGCUCUGGCUGUUAGGACCCCUGGUUUUUCACCAUUAGAUCAGGUGGUGCCAAGCUUGCAAAACUGGUAAAAAUGACUGUGAAUAUGAGUUUUUUUUCCUCUGAACCAGAUAGGGAACUGUACCAAUCACCAAUCAACCACAGAACAAUCCCAGGCUCAAUGGGGAGGCCGUGAGAUUAAAGGGAGGCAAAAGCCUGAAGCAUCUCUAUUUGUCGACAUCACAAGCCAAACUCCAUUAAAAUAAAAUCACACCAAGCAUCUUUUAUUGAACAUUAUUUUAAUACCAUAUCAAAACACCUUGACUAAUGAAGAAAGCUUUUCCCCCAAGCUUUGAACAAUUUUUUAAACAUUUUAAGUUUUUUUCUUUUUUAAUAUAUAAAUACAUAAACCUAUCCUGCAUGGGCUGAUGCCACGUGUGAACGUUGAUGGCUAAAAUGUUCUCAAACAGAGUGCCUGAAAACAGGGAUGUGGCUGUACCUCUUUUCCUUUUUUUUUUUUUUUUU